UUGGCUUGUCUAAUCACCUUCUGUCUGGGACUUGUGUGAGUGACAUCAACCACAGAGUACACAGAGAUACUACUAAAUACAGAGACUCUUGCAAACACAUAUAAGACUAAAAUGAUGUCUCCACGAGGAGUGAAGAAACCGAGACAAUUUGAAAGCGUCCCCCUUGGCAGGAGGGCAGUCCUGAGUGUGGACAGAAGAAGCACCAUGGUGAGAUUACUUCCCAUCCUGAAGCACAGCGAUAGCUUAAGCACAACAGGCUUCCUAACUACGAACCAGCCACAGCCCAGACAGAAAGACAGCGCUCCACUCUCUCAGAGGCUGGCCCACAGUGAGCCAAAGCCUCAGCUGGGAUCUCCAAGCCACUACAUAUAUGUAUCAUCUGAUGCCCCUUCCAAUCAGCUGGCGAAUACCUACCCACUUGUGACUGGGCAACCAUGGUUGACUUUCUGUCACACAGAGGAGAAAAUGGCAGCCCCAGCUCUGCUUCUCUGUCACCC